rnacentral:rRNA from 1 species
AGGUAACUGCGGAAGGAUCAUACAAGUGAGGCGUCGAUACACCCGUAAAACGGUGGGUAGACGGUUUACACCCACCCGUGUCUAUAUACUCUUGUUGCUUUGGCGGGCCGUGGCCUCCACUGCGGGCUCUGCUCGUGAGUGCCCGCCAGAGAACCAAACUCUGAAUGUUAGUGAUGUCUGAGUACUAUAUAAUAGUUAAAACUUUCAACAACGGAUCUCUUGGUUCUGGCAUCGAUGAAGAACGCAGCGAAAUGCGAUAAGUAAUGUGAAUUGCAGAAUUCAGUGAAUCAUCGAAUCUUUGAACGCACAUUGCGCCCUGUGGUAUUCCGCAGGGCAUGCCUGUUCGAGCGUCAUUUAACCACUCAAGCCUAGCUUGGUAUUGGGGCACGUGGUUCCGCGGCCCUCAAAAUCAGUGGCGGCGCCGGUGGGCUCUAAGCGUAGUACAUACUCCCGCUAUAGAGUUCCCCCGGUCGCUCGCUAGAACCCCCUCAUUUUUACAGGUUGACCUCGGAUCA